rnacentral:rRNA from 1 species
CGGGACCACUCUGACGUGAGUUGGAGGAGACUCAUAUGAAGUAGAGCUGAGUAUCAUCUACCGGAGGAAAAUGACCUUCUCACCCUUGUCAUAUCACUAUGUUGCUGUUAACGGGUGGAGGUGGUUCCGACCCAGGCGGCCGGCGCCCCCAGCCUUAACUGGCCAGGACGCCCGGCUAAGUGCCCGCCAGUAUACAAAACUCAAGAAUUCAUGUUGUGAAGUCCUGAUAUAUCAUUUAAUUGAUUAAAACUUUCAACAACGGAUCUCUUGGUUCUGGCAUCGAUNAAGAACGCUGCGAAAUGCGAUAAGUAAUGUGAAUUGCACAAUUCAGUGAAUCAUCGAAUCUUUGAACGCACAUUGCGCCCUCUGGUAUUCCGGAGGGCAUGCCUGUUCGAGCGUCAUUUCAACCCUCAAGCUCUGCUUGGUAUUGGGCAACGUCCGCUGCCGGACGUGCCUUGAAGACCUCGGCGACGGCGUCCUAGCCUCGAGCGUAGUANNUAAAUAUCUCGCUUUGGAGUGCUGGGCGACGGCCGCCGGACAAUCGACCUUCGGUCUAUUUUUCCANGGUUGACCUCGGAUCAGGUAGGGAUACCCGCUGAACUUAAGC